CAAAAACAUGGCCUUUUGAAUUUAAUUUAAGUUUUGACCUGCCCAGGGAUAAUUUUAACGGCCGCGGUAUCCUGCCCGGGCAAAGGUAGCAUAUUCAUUAGUUUUUUAAUAGAGGGGUGGAAUGAAAGGUUUAACGAGGAACUGACUGUCUCAUUUUAUUUGUUUUAAAAUUUAAUUUUUUAGUUAAAAAGCUAAAAUUUUAUUGGUAGACGAGAAGACCCUAUAGAGCUUCCCAUAUAAUUAAAUAAAAAAUUUUAUAUUAAUAUUUUUAUUUGAUUUUGUGUUUUGUUGGGGUGACAAAAAUAUAUAAUUAACUUUUUUAUUUAAAUUACAUUGAUAUAUGAAUAUAAGAUCCAUUACUAUUGAUUAUUAGAUUAAGUUACCUUAGGGAUAACAGCGUAAUCCUCCUCCAGAGUUCAUAUUUACAGGAUGGGCUUGCGACCUCGAUGUUGGAUUAAGAUAAUA
rnacentral:rRNA from 1 species